UUGAGAGAUGGAUGUGGUCACGUGACUACAAGAGGCUCGGCAGUGUUGCCAGUCGGCCAAGUCGCUCUGCAGGCCUCUUGCCUCGUGUCUGGUGAGGUGGACCUUACAGGGCUGUCACACACCGUGUCAAAGCAUUCGUCGAUCGAAUCUUCUGGAAAGUGGUUGUUGUGGUCGGAACUUCCUAGCACCGUAAAAAUGCAUCCAACAAACACUUAACGAGGUUUAGCGCUGAUUUGUGGAACCUCUUGUCAGUGAUUUACUGAAGGACCGGCAAGAAAUUCAACAAUUUGGAUUUCACGCUGAAAUUACUGGAUUACCAUCGUUUGGCUCAAUUUACUCGGACUCCAGCCAAGAGCAUUUAAGUUUCGUACUUUGCAGAAGUGUAGAUGAGGGAGGAAAAGCUUGUGCUCUCAGUCCAGCUGGGUCACUCCUCGCCGCAGUGUUGUGACAGCGCGCUGCAGCAGGUGACGAGCAUGUAACGGUGACGUGCUGACAGGGUGGAAGAUGGAUGACCUGGAUGACGGCACGUCACCUCUUCCGACAAACAAAACCAGCUUGGACGGAUUUGAGGAGAAGAGACACCUGGUCAAGUGGAUUAUACCCCCCAUAGUGCUGGUAACCUUUGCCAUCUUCCUCGUCAUCUUCAUCUACAACGCCUGCAUCCUCAAGCACCGCCCGCCUCCCAGUCGCACGAGAGUGGAGCAGGUGAAUGAGCAAUGGCAGACAACCUUCGACGGGGCCCAACGCCGUGCGGGAAGGAGGAGAACCCCGACAAAUCUCGGGUGGUGAGGUUUGAAGGGGUGCAGGUGGUGAAAGAAUCCUAGCAUCGUGUCAACCAGGUAUCCGAGUUCACCAAGACCUCAGGAAGACCUCACGAGUCUCCCCGUCUCUCCGUCACCAGCAGAUGUUCGAUCAAACUAAUCAUUCUGUGGGACUCGUCCCUACAGUCGGGAGGAAGAGAGAGAACACUAGUACUAUUCUCAAGAACGAGUUAAUCCUUACGGAGAUUGUUUUCUGUUCUCUCCUGUUAACCAGAGUCGUGGUCGUCUUGGAACCUCGAAUCUUGCUGGGCUAGGUUGUGCUAGGCUAGGUUGUGCUAGGCUAGGUUGUGCUAGGCUAGGCUAGGCUGUGCUAGGCUAGGUUGUGCUAGGUUAUUAUUACUGACGAGGGAAGGUCUUGAAGUCGCAGAUGUCAUCAAGGUGCAGCACUCACCUCGUCCAAUGCCGAGCUUCUGAAUGUUCACUACUUAAGUUCGGAUCAUGGGACCGAGAAUAAGUAAUAAAAUGUUCGCUGACGACACUAUGAACAGUGAGACCACUUUAGGUCUCUCUCUCUCUGAACCACACCCCUACCCCACCCUGUACACGAGUACACACGAACUAUUGUACACUCGCACGUGCAUGAGUGCUACUGUGUUACUGGCUUGAACUUUAACCCUUGUAUGUUUAUCGAUGCGAUCCUCGAACGCCUAACACGUUUUUUUUACAAUAGCUUAAUCCCUCUGUAUCUGUCACAAUAUUAUUUUUGUACAGUCCACAUACAAUGUCUGUAAUAAUACCAAAGCAUGUAAAAGAAGAACAUGGUCAAUAAACAACAGCAGUCAAUGAACAUU